rnacentral:rRNA from 1 species
UACGUGGGGGGCAAGCGUUGUUCGGAAUUACUGGGCGUAAAGGGCUCGUAGGUGGCCAACUAAGUCAGACGUGAAAUCCCUCGGCUUAACCGGGGAACUGCGUCUGAUACUGGAUGGCUUGAGUUUGGGAGAGGGAUGCGGAAUUCCAGGUGUAGCGGUGAAAUGCGUAGAUAUCUGGAGGAACACCGGUGGCGAAGGCGGCAUCCUGGACCAAUUCUGACACUGAGGAGCGAAAGCCAGGGGAGCAAACGGG